rnacentral:tRNA from 1 species
GGCGAGAUAGCUCAGUUGGUAGAGCGCAGGACUGAAAAUCCUGGCGUCGGGGGUUCAAAUCCCUCUCUCGCCACCA